GGGCCCGUAGCUCAAUUGGCUAGAGCACCCGAUUUGCACUCGGGAGGUUAGCGGUUCGAAGCCGCUCGGGUCCA
rnacentral:tRNA from 1 species